rnacentral:rRNA from 2 species
GUCCGACCUGCCCAGUGAAUUUACUAUUUUCAACGGCCGCGGUAUCCUAACCGUGCAAAGGUAGCAUAAUCACUUGUUCCCUAAAUAGGGACUUGUAUGAACGGUUGAAUGAGGGUAUGACUGUCUCCUGCCGCCAAUCAAUGAAAUUGAUCUUACAGUACAAACGCUGUAAUUCUAAUACAAGACGAGAAGACCCUGUGGAGCUUUAAAUGAAUAUAUUAACUAAAUACCCAUACCACCUUUAGUAUAAUGUAAAUUUUAAGUUGGGGCGACUGUGGAGCAUAAAAAAACCUCCAUGCAACACGAUUAAACCUCGUCACACCAGGCCUACAAGCCUAACCACAACACUUGACCCAGUCAAACUGAAUAAUGAACCAAGUUACCCCAGGGAUAACAGCGCCAUCCCCUUAAAGAGUCCACAUCGCCAAGGGGGUUUACGACCUCGAUGUUGGAUCAGGACUUCCCAGUGGUGUAGCCGCUACUAAAGGUUCGUUUGUUCAACGAA